CUCUCGACAACGUGAUGCAGCUGGCCGCUCAGAGCGGACACCAUCUGAGGAACAGACAGACAGGUUAUAGAGGAUCCAUCUGGCCACUCAGAGCGGACACCAUCUGAGGAACAGACAGACAGGUUAUAGAGGAUCCAUCUGGCCACUCAGAGCGGACACCAUCUGAGGAACAGACAGACAGGUUAUAGAGGAUCCAUCUGGCCGCUCAGAGCGGACACCAUCUGAGGAACAGACAGACAGGUUAGUCCCAGGUUAUAGAGGACCCAUCUGAGGGACAGACAGGUUAUAGAGGAUCCAUCUGAGGGACAGACAGGUUAUAGAGGACCCAUCUGAGGGACAGACAGGUUAGUCCCAGGUUAUAGAGGAUCCAUCUGAGGGACAGACAGGUUAUAGAGGAUCCAUCUGAGGGACAGACAGGUUAUAGAGGGUCCAUCUGAGGGACAGACAGGUUAUAGAGGACCCAUCUGAGGGACAGACAGGUUAGUCCCAGGUUAUAGAGGAUCCAUCUGAGGGACAGACAGGUUAUAGAGGACCCAUCUGAGGGACAGACAGGUUAGUCCCAGGUUAUAGAGGACCCAUCUGAGGGACAGACAGGUUAUAGAGGAUCCAUCUGAGGGACAGACAGGUUAGUCCCAGGUUAUAGAGGACCCAUCUGAGGGACAGACAGGUUAGUCCCAGGUUAUAGAGGAUCCAUCUGAGGGACAGACAGGUUAUAGAGGCUCCAUCUGAGGGACAGACAGGUUAGUCCCAGGUUAUAGAGGCUCCAUCUGAGGGACAGACAGGUUAUAGAGGCUCCAUCUGAGGGACAGACAGGUUAUAGAGGCUCCAUCUGAGGGACAGACAGGUUAUAGAGGAUCCAUCUGAGGGACAGACAGACAGGUUAGUCCCAGGUUAUAGAGGCUCCAUCUGAGGGACAGACAGGUUAUAGAGGCUCCAUCUGAGGGACAGACAGGUUAUAGAGGCUCCAUCUGAGGGACAGACAGGUUAUAGAGGACCCAUCUGAGGGACAGACAGGUUAUAGAGGAUCCAUCUGAGGGACAGACAGGUUAUAGAGGACCCAUCUGAGGGACAGACAGGUUAUAGAGGACCCAUCUGAGGGACAGACAGGUUAUAGAGGACCCAUCUGAGGGACAGACAGGUUAUAGAGGACCCAUCUGAGGGACAGACAGGUUAUAGAGGACCCAUCUGAGGGACAGACAGGUUAUAGAGGACCCAUCUGAGGGACAGACAGGUUAUAGAGGCUCCAUCUGAGG